AGGUUUCAAAUUUAUUAAUAAGCAUGAUUAUUUCUAACUGUAAUUUAUUUUUGCCGUAGUUUUACCUGUGAAUAUUUCUGAUAUCAAAUGUGCAAUUUCUGAAUUAAAAGGUGAUAACUAUAAGGUGUGGAAAGAAAGAGUGUUACUGCAGUUGGGAUGGAUGGAUAUUGACUAUGCUAUUAGGAAAGACGAACCGCCUAGCAUUACUGCGAGUAGUACUCCAGAUGCAGUUGAUCUUUAUGAAAAGUGGGAGAGGUCUAACCGCCUCUUUGUUAUGUUCAUAAAGACCAAGAUUAGUGCUAGUAUUUGUGGUUCCGUCGAUAAGCAUACCAAAGUCAAAGAUCUUCUGGAGGCCAUUGAUGAGCAGUUUGCAUCUUCUGACAAAGAUCUUGCUAGCACCUUAAUUAUGCAGAGUUUAAGGGAGUGCGUGAUCAUAUGAUGCGCAUGAGGGACAUUGCAGCUCAGCUUAAGGACUUGAAAGUUACCAUUUCUGACACUUUCCUUGUGCAUCAAAUUUUAUGCACUCUUCCUCACCAAUAUGGCUCUUUUAAGGUCUCUUACAACACACAUAAGGAUAAAUGGUCAAUUAAUGAGCAUAUGAUCAUGUGUGUUCAAGAGGAAGGAAGAUUGGUGAUGGAGGAGGGUGAAAAGGCGAACUAAUCUACUUAUGCAAAGAAGAAGAAGGAUCACACUAAGGAUAAGGAAAAAGGUCAGAUUCCAGCCAAUCAAGCCAUCAAGAAAGAGUCUUCGUGUUUUUUCUGUAAGAAGAAUGGACACAUGAAGAAAGACUGUGUAAAGUUCAAGGCUUGGCUUGAGAAGAAAGGGUAUGACAAACCUAUGGAAACCAAUGGGGAGUGAACAUCACAUCUAUUCAGGCAACCAGAUGAGUUCGCAUGUAGAGGUCGUUGGGACAUGCAGCUUAAUUUAAGUAGUGGUUUUAUUUUGCAUUUAGAGAGAACAUUUUAUGUUCCAAAUUUAUCUAGAAAUUUGAUUUCAGUUUCAAGACUUGUACCUUCGAGAAUUUCCUUUAAUUUUUCAGACUCUGGUUUCAGUUUAAUUAAAGAUUAUGAAAUUA